rnacentral:rRNA from 1 species
CCUACGGGAGGCUGCAGUGAGGAAUAUUGGUCAAUGGACGAGAGUCUGAACCAGCCAAGUAGCGUGAAGGAUGACUGCCCUAUGGGUUGUAAACUUCUUUUAUAUGGGAAUAAAAUGUUCCACGUGUGGGAUUUUGUAUGUACCAUAUGAAUAAGGAUCGGCUAACUCCGUGCCAGCAGCCGCGGUAAUACGGAGGAUCCGAGCGUUAUCCGGAUUUAUUGGGUUUAAAGGGAGCGUAGGUGGAUUGUUAAGUCAGUUGUGAAAGUUUGCGGCUCAACCGUAAAAUUGCAGUUGAAACUGGAAGUCUUGAGUACAGAAGAGGUGGGCGGAAUUCGUGGUGUAGCGGUGAAAUGCUUAGAUAUCACGAAGAACUCCGAUUGCGAAGGCAGCUCACUGGACUGCAACUGACACUGAGGCUCGAAAGUGUGGGUAUCAAACAGGAUUAGAUACCCGAGUAGUC